CAUCCUCAGUGCUGUUGAGUAAGUUUGUUUGUGAUCGAGAACAAGAAUAAUUGUGGUAAAAAUCGAGCUUUCAGCGAACAGCAAGUAACGUAAAUGACAAACCUUCGUGUCCGACCAUAGUUUGAUAAAAGUAAACUACACAAUGUUAGUUGUUUCUUAUACUGUUCUACUCUACGGAGAACGACGUGCUCGUGAUCGAAACGAACUACCUGAGUCAAGUCCUUCCUUACACUGAUCUGUCCCAGCAUCGUCCGGAUAGUUAAGCACUCGUGAUCGACGUGAACAACCUCAAUCAAGUUCUUCCUUAAAUUGAUCUGCAUCAUAC